rnacentral:rRNA from 1 species
AUUGAACGCUGGCGGCAUGCCUUACACAUGCAAGUCGAACGGUAACAGGUCUUCGGAUGCUGACGAGUGGCGAACGGGUGAGUAAUACAUCGGAACGUGCCUAGUAGUGGGGGAUAACUACUCGAAAGAGUGGCUAAUACCGCAUGAGAUCUACGGAUGAAAGCAGGGGAUCGCAAGACCUUGUGCUACUAAAGCGGCCGAUGGCAGAUUAGGUAGUUGGUGGGAUAAAAGCUUACCAAGCCGACGAUCUGUAGCUGGUCUGAGAGGACGAUCAGCCACACUGGGACUGAGACACGGCCCAGACUCUUACGGGAGGCAGCAGUGGGGAAUUUUGGACAAUGGGCGCAAGCCUGAUCCAGCAAUGCCGCGUGCAGGAUGAAGGCCUUCGGGUUGUAAACUGCUUUUGUACGGAACGAAAAGCCCCGGGUUAAUACCCUGGGGUCAUGACGGUACCGUAAGAAUAAGCACCGGCUAACUACGUGCCAGCCGCCGCCGUAA